UCAGGAUGAACGCUGGCGGCGUGCUUAACACAUGCAAGUCGAACGGAGUUUUUAAACGGAAGUUUUCGGAUGGAAGUUUAAGAACUUAGUGGCGGACGGGUGAGUAACGCGUGGGUAACCUGCCUCAUACAGGGGGAUAACAGUUAGAAAUGACUGCUAACACCGCAUAAUAUAGCGAAACCGCAUGAUUUUUGCUAUCAAAUAUUUAUAGGUAUGAGAUGGGCCCGCGUCUGAUUAGCUAGUUGGUGGGGUAAAAGCCUACCAAGGCGACGAUCAGUAGCCGGCUUGAGAGAGUGACCGGCCACAUUGGGACUGAGACACGGCCCAAACUCCUACGGGAGGCAGCAGUGGGGAAUAUUGGACAAUGGGGGAAACCCUGAUCCAGCGAACCGCCGCGUGAGUGAAGAAGUAUUUCGGUAUGUAAAGCUCUAUCAGCAGGGAAGAUAAUGACAGUACCUGACUAAGAAGCCCCGGCUAACUACGUGCCAGCCGCAGC
rnacentral:rRNA from 1 species